CUUCAGCGAACCCAGCCAGACCGGCUCCUCGCGGUUCUGCCCGUACGUCGCGAGCAGGGCGUCCGCCUC
rnacentral:antisense_RNA from 1 species